rnacentral:rRNA from 1 species
GAUGAACGCUGGCGGCGUGCCUAAUACAUGCAAGUCGAGCGAACAGACGAUGAGCUUGCUCCUCUGACGUUAGCGGCUGACGGGUGAGUAACACGUGGAUAACCUACUUAUAAGACUGGGAUAACUUCGGGAAACCGGAGCUAAUACUGGAUAAUAUAUCGAACCGCAUGGUUCAAUAGUGAAUGACGGUUUUGCUGUCACUUAUAGCUGGAUCCGCGUCGCAUUAGCUAGUUGGUAAGGUAACGGCUUACCAAGGCAACGAUGCGUAGCCGACCUGAGAGGGUGAUCGGCCACACUGGAACUGAGACACGGUCCAGACUCCUACGGGAGGCAGCAGUAGGGAAUCUUCCGCAAUGGGCGAAAGCUUGACGGAGCAACGCCGCGUGAGUGAUGAAGGUCUUCGGAUCGUAAAACUCUGUUAUUAGGGAAGAACAAAUGUGUAAGUAACUAUGCACGUCUUGACGGUACCUAAUCAGAAAGCCACGGCUAACUACGUG